UUCACGGAGAGUUUGAUCCUGGCUCAGGACGAACGCUGGCGGCGCGCUUAACACAUGCAAGUCGAGCGAGAACCAGGCCUUCGGGCCUGGGGACAGCGGCGAACGGGUGAGUAACACGUGGGUAAUCAACCCUCGAUACUGGGAUAGCCCGGGGAAACCCGGAUUAAUACCGGAUGGCCCUUUGGAUCCUCGGAUCCGAAGGAAAAGGUAGCUUCGGCCUCCGAUCGAGGACGAGCCCGCGGCGGAUUAGCUUGUUGGUGAGGUAACGGCCCACCAAGGCGACGAUCCGUAGCUGGUCUGAGAGGACGAUCAGCCACACUGGGACUGAGACACGGCCCAGACUCCUACGGGAGGCAGCAGUGGGGAAUCUUGCGCUAAUGCGGGAAACCGUGACGCAGCGACGCCGCGUGAGGGAAGAAGGCCUUCGGGUUGUAAACCUCUUUCAGGAGGGACGAAGCCACUCGGGUUAAUAGCCCAGAGGGUGACGGUACCUCCAGAAGAAGCCCCGGCUAACUACGUGCCAGCAGCCGCGGUAAUACGUAGGGGG
rnacentral:rRNA from 1 species